CUUGAGGUCUAUCACGACCUCCGACCUCCUGUUCUGCACACCGUUGGAAGCUCCUCAGAGUAACACCGGUUUUGCUCUGCUCACAGGUCUAUUUCUUAGGCCUGUUGACAAAGCACUGCAAGACAGCA
rnacentral:snoRNA from 1 species